rnacentral:lncRNA from 10 species
GAUAAAGUGCCCUGGAGAUGGAGAUAAAACAGAGAAUCCCCAUGAAACCAAGUCAGCCCUGUCGCCAGGGCAUCUCCUGUCUUCUGUUCUGAUGAACAUUAGCGUCACCUCCUCACGGAAGCCUCCCCUGACUCUGAGAGAGAUCUUCACAGUCCCAGGACACCUUAUCUAUACCUGUGUCAUGACACUAACUGCAUUCAGCCUUUUGUUGCAAGCAUUUACAUUCCUAUCUCCUCUUCCUCUGGAACUAAGUGCAGGGCCAGAGACUUAGUAUUCUUGUGUCCUUCUAGGGCAGCUACGACAGUGCCUGGUGCUUGGGGAGUGCUUGACAGAUUCAGGUUGAAGAAACAAAGGCAGGAUGUCUGAGAUGCCCAGCGUGGGUGAGUGCACCCUCCCUCCCUGGCUCUGCUCCUCCCCCUCCCCGGAACCACCACCCCCUCAGCCCUGAGCUGCCGAUGCCCUCGGGGUUCUGUUUUCAUUCCAGGCUGUGGAUCCGGUCGUGGGAAGCAGAGUGAACUUCUAGGUUCUGAGCUGACUCCUUGGAAACCCUAGACUCCAGGGACGCGCUUCUAGAACCUGCUCAGAUUGCUACUCAGUUAACAGCCUGGCCCAGGAGGAUUGCAACACCCAGCCUGGCUCCCAGGCAAGCUAAAGAGGGCUUGAUGAUGGGAAGAGGUUAAGGGGUACGUGGAGAGAAAGAAGGAUCAGAAGGCGGAAACAUCAUAGACCUCCUGGGAUGCCUUCUGCAGGAUCACAGAGAAGGCAAAAUUUGUCCUCCUGACUACAAGAUGCCAAGAUACAUUUGUAUCGAGCCACUGAAUUCUCUACCCCUUCUGUAGAGGUGGUUGGGGAAGAGCUGCAGUAGGAAGCUGGGUCCCAAGUAAUGAAGGACCUUUAGAAGCAGAAGGUGUUAGGGUGGGGGCAAAGGACUGAACUCUGACCAACCAGAAGAAAGGAAAAACUGGAGUUCCUUUCCCCUAGGCUCCAGCCCUCACCAGCAGGGACUCAACAAACGCCAUCUGUCAGAUGAGUCAUGGGACCAGAAGCUUGGGAGAAGACAUGCAGAGCCAACCACUAACAAAACUGGCAAAUGAAAUAAAUGCCCAGAAACCUGCUCCAUCCCCAGCAUUCCUUAAGUCCUAUAAAUUGCACCACCUUUUACCAGUUUUCAGAAACUAAAAGUCAUCCUUGACAUCCGUCCAAUCAAUCACCUCCUAUUUAUCUCCCAAAUUCAUUCUUUUUUCUUUUUGAAACAGAGUUUUUACUCUUGUUGCCCAGGCUGAAGUGCAAUGGCACGAUCUCAGCUCCCUGCAACCUCCGCCUCCCAGGUUCAAGCCAUUCUCCUGCCUCAGCUUUCCUGAGUAGCUGGGAUUACAGGCAUGCGCCACUACGCCUGGCUAAUGUUGUAUUUUUAGUAGAGAUGGGGUUUCUCCAUGUUGGUCAGGCUGGUCUUGAAUUCCCAACCUGAGGUGAUCCACCCACCUUGGCCUCCCAAAGUGCUGGGACUACAGGUGUGAGCCAUUACACCCGGCAAAUUCAUUUUUAUAAUCUUGCCACCCCCACAACCACUGCCCUCAUGGACCCUGGGCACGCCUCACCCGAAUUACAGAAAUUCCCUCCCAGCUGGUAAAACUGUUUGUGUGUGGCUCUCCUUCAUUCCAUCCUCCCUGGUUUAGCCAGAGAAAUAAUUCUAAAAUGUACACAUCCCAAAGCAUCUCAUUUUCCUGCAUGCAGUCUUUCAUCAUCCAUUCACUAACUGGAGGACAACAUCUGAAUUUAUUAGUGAGCAUACAAAGGCUUUUCAUCCGCUGAACCCAGCGCAUCUGCUACCAUUUCCCUGGUCUCCGGUCAGAACUAGUGACUGUCCCAUAAACAGGUUCUGCUGGACUUCCAGUCAAGAUGGAGCGGGCCGCACACAUACAGAGCUGAACUUGUAUCGCCGUGUAGAUGAAGACAAACACCUUUAGGAGAUGGCAGAGAAACAAAAUGGGAAACCCUCAGGUCUCCAAAUGACUACACCAAGCAGAAUUGCCCCACCAGCCUGCACCAUUCAUUUCUAGACUAUGAGCAAGAAGUACACUUCCAUCUUAUUUAAACAACCAUAUUUGGGGUUUUUGUUGUUGUUAUUGUUGUUGUUAUAGGAGCUUAGCUUUUACUCUAAGAAAUACAGCUACUCAACUCACUUCAUUAGGAUCUUAACUAUAAUAUCAAAACCUCCUAAGCACAGAAUAAAAAAUACAGUAGAGCAAUAUCAUUUAUGAUCAUAGAUGCAGAGCUUCCAAAUGAAAUACUAGCAUAUUCAAGGAAAGAUAUAUAUACCAUGACCUAGUUGUGUUUAAUUUCUGGAAUUCAAAAAUGGAAUGUUUGACAUAAGAAAAUCUAUUAGGCCGGGCGCGGUGGCUCACGCCUGUAAUCCCAGCACUUUGGGAGGCCGAGGCAGGCAGAUCACGAGGUCAGGAGAUCGAGAUCAUCCUGGCUAAUACGGUGAAACCCCGUUUCUACUAAAAAAUACAAAAAAAAAAUAUUAGCUGGGAGUGGUGGCGGGCGCCUGUAGUCCCAGCUACUUGGGAGGCUGAGGCAGGAGAAUGGCGUGAACCCGGGAGGCAGAGCUUACAGUGAGCUGAGAUCGUGCCACUGCACUCCAGCCUGGGUGACAGAGCGAGACUCUGUCUCAAAAAAAAAAAAAAAAAGAAAAAAGAAAACAGUUUGGCAGUUCCUCAAAAAGUUAAACAUAGGAUGUUUGAAAAUUUAAACGUAAUAUGACCUAGCAAUUCAACCCCAGGUAUACAACCAAGAGAAUUGAAAACAGGUGUUCAAACAAAAACUUGUACAGGAUUGCUCAUAGCAGCAUUAUUUAUAAUAGCCAAAAGGAAGAAACUACUCAAAUGUCCAUCAGCUGAUGAAUGGAUAAACAAAAUAUGGUGUAUUUCUACAAUGGACUAUUAUUCAAUCAUAAAAAAUGAAAUGCUGAUAAAUGCCAAAAUUGACGAACUUUUAAAACAUGCUAAGUGGCUGGGUGGGGUGGCUCUAGUCCGUAAUCCCGGCAUGUUAAGAGGCCGAGGUGGGCGGGUCACUUGAGCCUGGGAGGUCGAGGCUGCAGAGAGCUGAGAUCGCGCUACUGCACUCUAGCCUGGGUGACAGAGCAGACCCUGUCUCAGAAAGAAAAGAAAAAACAGAAAAGAGAAAGAAGACAGGAGAGGAGAGAAGGGGAGGGGAGGGGAGGGGAAUGGAGAGGGGGAGGGGAGGGGAGGGGAAGGGGGAGGGAAGGGGAGGGGAGGGGAACAUCCUGGCCGGGUGCAGUGGCUCACGCCUGUAAUCCUAGCACUUUGGGAGGCCAAGGUGGGCGGAUUGCCUGAGCUCAGGAGUUCGAGACCAGCCUGGGCAACACGGUGAAACCCCGUCUCUACUAAAAUACAAAAAAAUUAGUUGGGCGUGGCGAUGUAUACCUGUAGUCCCAGCUACUCAGGAUGCUGAGGCAGAAGAAUUGCUUGAACCCAGGAGGUUGAGGUUGCAGUGACGCGAGAUUGCACCACUGCACUCCAGCCUGGGUGACAGAGUGAGACUCUCUCCCAAAAAAAAAAAAAGAAAAGAAAAGAAAAGAACAUGCUAAGUGAAAGAAGCCAGAGAAAAAAAGGCAACACAUUGUAUUAUUCCAUUUAAUGAAAUAUCCAGGAUAAACAAAUCCAUAGAAAUGAAGAGCAGCUGAGGGGUUGCUGGGGCUAGGGACGGGGGGGAUAUCAGGAAUGACUGCUUCAUGGGUACAGAGUUUUCAGGUGAUGAAAUCUUCUAGAAUUAGAUAAUAGUGAUGGUUGCACAACAUUAUGAAAAUACCAAAAACCACUGAACUGUACACUUUAAAAUUGUUAAAAUGGUGAAUUUUAUAUUAUGUGACAAUUUUGUAAAAGAAUUCUAUAUCCAAUGAAAAUAUUCUUCAAGAAUGAGAGGGAAAUAAAGGCGUUCUCAAGUGAAAAAUCAAGAGAAUUUGUCAUUAGUAGACUUGUUGUAAAAUAAAUACUAAAGAAAGUUCUUCAAACGGAAGAAAGAGGAUACCUGAAAGAAAUUUAGAACAUCAAGAAUGAAGACAGAGAAACAAAAAUGGUAAAAAUCUGGUUAAAUAUAAUAGACUAUUUUUAUCUUAAAUUCUUUAUAAUAUGUAUAUGUUGGGGCUCAGAAAACAACACCUCAAAAGUAUGGCGCUUUGGUAUGCUGAACACUUUGAACUAAAAUAGAAAGGACUUAGAAGCUACCUCAGAAUAAGGCCUUUCUGGCCUCAUCUGUUUCUAUCGCCUAGAGACUUCUAGAGACUUCUGGAGUCUCUAUCCCCCUAGAGACUUCCCCUAGAAUUUCCUUAUCUGACUAAGGAAACUUCUUUCCAAAAGAAAUGCAAUUGUCUUAAGAUCCCCUUCCUAGGAAUCUCAUCAAAUAAUCAGAAAAGAUUAACCACCAGAGAAGAAUGGAGACUAAAGUCAGAUGACUCUUCAUCUAGUCCUCUGAGGCAGUGCCAAGAGAUAACCUGGGAGGCUUUAUCUACCAGGUUAAGUUUCACCCCUCACCUUCCGGUAACUUGCUGGCGUCGUUUAGUUUCCUAGGAGAAUCAUUUACAAGAUAAUGUCUGAGCCUCCUGGGCCCAUUCAUUUCCCCUAAAAAUCAUUAACAACCCCUGCAUUUUCCCCAUCUCCCUCUUCCCUAUGAAGCAGAUAUAUAAGCCUCAAUCAUCUGGCCCUUUGGGUCUCAUAUUUAAUAUUGUACCCAUGUUUUUGUAUGUUAAUAAAUUUAUAUGCCUUUUUCUCCUAUUAAUCUGUGUAUUGUCAGUCAUUUUAGCA